CGGGUAGUGGCGCAGCUUGGUAGCGCGCCUCGUUCGGGACGAGGAGGUCGUGGGUUCAAAUCCCGCCUACCCGACCA
rnacentral:tRNA from 5 species